UCUGGUUGAUCCUGCCAGUAGUCAUACGCUUGUCUCAAAGAUUAAGCCAUGCAUGUCUAAGUAUAAAUCUUUAUACGGUGAAACUGCGAAUGGCUCAUUAUAUCAGUUAUAGUUUAUUUGAUAGUCCCCUACUACUUGGAUAACCGUAGUAAUUCUAGAGCUAAUACAUGCGUCAAGGCCCAACUGCUUCGGCGGGCGGGCUGUAUUUAUUAGAGUUGAACCAGCCGCCUUCGGGUGUUUUUUGGUGAAUCAUGAUAACUUUGCGAAUCGUAUGCUUCGGCGACGAUGAAUCAUUCAAGUUUCUGCCCUAUCAAGUGGCGAUGGUAGGGUAUUGGCCUACCAUGCUAGUGACGGGUGACGGAGAAUUAGGGUUCGAUUCCGGAGAGGGAGCCUGAGAGACGGCUACCACAUCUAAGGAAGGCAGCAGGCGCGUAAAUUACCCAAUCCUGACACGGGGAGGUAGUGACAAUAAAUAACAAUACGGGGCUUUUCAAGUCUUGUAAUUGGAAUGAGAACAAUUUAAAUCCCUUAUCGAGGAUCAAUUGGAGGGCAAGUCUGGUCCCCCGU
rnacentral:rRNA from 1 species